rnacentral:lncRNA from 1 species
UCAGACUCCACGCCCGUGGGAGUAGUGAGAGGCAUAGGAUGGGACAGAAGGAGAUGCUAAACAGUGAUGCAGAAGCAGCGAAGACCUCCGCAAUCCUGCAGGGAAGCUUGGGAGCUGGUACGGCCCUGCAGAGAUGCACUGAGCCUGACUGCUGCUGGAGCCCAGUGUGAGUCCUGGCAGAAGAAAUCUGCAAACCCUAGUCAGAUGUGUUUCAGCUUUGCAGUGGAUGGUAGGGCCACCCUCCCGUUGGGGUCAGGUCAGAGGACAUGACUCUUUAACAUUACUGAAAUUACAAGUUUCUUGAAUACAAGAUGAAGGAAGAGGUCAAAUAUCAAGUAGGAAGCCAAGCUGCCAUGUUGUAAGCUGCCCUAUGAAGGGACCCACAUGGCAAAGAAUGGAGAAUGACCCCAGCCAGCCAAGAACUCUCAGCCUACCGGCCCAUGAGGAACUGAAUCCUGCCAACAGCGAUGUGAGUGAACUUGGAAGUGGAUCCUUCUCCAGUGGCACCAUCAGCUCACCAUCCAGCCCGCCUGAGGCUCUGCCCACUGACAGGCUACUCCCAGGACAAUACUAGCUCCCCAGGACAAGCACUACACCCAGACGGCAUGUCAUUCAACAAGUCGGGGGCAGGCUUAAGGUGAAAAAUCAUCCCAAUUCUGGAGAUAUUAUCUGAAAAAAAAAGACUGUUUUCAGGAAACAAUCUUCCCAUCUGUGGUGAUUUUUAAAAUAUAGUUCCCAAAUUUUAUGUGGGAAAGGAAAGUAGCAAUAUAGAUGCAGGAAGAGCAUUACUGUGUGGAUAAAAAGAUGAUGUAUGCAAAUGAACAUGCUCAGCCUAGAACUUAAAUUAAAGUUACUGCCUGAUAUGGUAGGUACUGUGGUCUGAAUGUGUCCCCCAGAGUUCAUGUGUUGGAAACUUAAUCUCCAGUGCAACAAUGUUGAGCAAUGGAACCUUUAAGAAGUGACUGGGUCAGGAGAGUUCUGCCCUCAUGAAUGAAUUAAUGUCAUUAUUGCAAGAGUUAGUUAUUGCAGGAGUAGGUUCCUGAUUAAAAAGUGAGUCCACCCCCACUUCUCUCUCUUUUUCUGUCACGCACAUAUGCACUCUCUUGCCCUUCUACCUUCCACCAUGUGAUGACACAGCAAGAAGGCCCUCACCAGAUGCAGGCCUCUCAACCUUGGACUUUCCAGCCUCCAGAAUUGUAAGAAAUAAAUCUCUAUUCUUUAUAAAUUACCUAGUCUCUGGCAUUCUGUUACAGCAGCACAAAAUGAAUUAAGACAGUAGGAAAGAUCAUUGACACUGUUACAGACCUCUAAGGCAUGAUGAAAAAGCAAAUAUGCCCAUGUUUAUGCAAAUAGCAGAGUCAGUUAAAGAGGCCAUAACAUUGAUCAUAUGGGACUUCAAUAGCCCUGAAAUGGAUUAGAACAAGAAUUAUGGGAUGGUAAGGAGAGGCCACAGAGCUAGCAGUGAUCAGAAGCUCUUUUCCAGGAGACUUUGUUGAGCAAUCAAAAAGAUCAUGGGCUAUUGGGGGCAGCUAUCUGAAAAGUUGAAUGCAAUGAAGGAUGAAGGAUGGGGCUAAAA